GACGAACGCUGGCGGCGUGCUUAACACAUGCAAGUCGAACGGAAAGGCCCUGCUUUUGUGGGGUGCUCGAGUGGCGAACGGGUGAGUAACACGUGAGUAACCUGCCCUUGACUUUGGGAUAACUUCAGGAAACUGGGGCUAAUACCGGAUAGGAGCUCCUGCUGCAUGGUGGGGGUUGGAAAGUUUCGGCGGUUGGGGAUGGACUCGCGGCUUAUCAGCUUGUUGGUGGGGUAGUGGCUUACCAAGGCUUUGACGGGUAGCCGGCCUGAGAGGGUGACCGGCCACAUGGGGGCUUAGGUACGGCCCAGACUCCUACGGGAGGCAGCAGUGGGGAAUGUUGCACAAUGGGCGGAAGCCUGAUGCAGCAACUCCGCGUGCGGGAUGACGGCCUUCGGGUUGUAAACCGCUUUCGCCUGUGACGAAGCGUGAGUGACGGUACUGGGUAAAGAAGCACCGGCUAACUACGU
rnacentral:rRNA from 1 species